UACGUAGGUGGCAAGCGUUGUCCGGAUUUACUGGGCGUAAAGAGCGCGCAGGCGGUCGUUCAAGUCGCGUGUGAAAGCCCCCGGCUCAACUGGGGAGGGUCACGCGAUACUGAUCGACUCGAAGGCAGGAGAGGGUAGUGGAAUUCCCGGUGUAGUGGUGAAAUGCGCAGAUAUCAGGAAGAACACCAAUGGCGAAGGCAGCUCUCUGGGACGGUACUGACGCUGAGACGCGAAAGCGUGGGGAGCGAACAGG
rnacentral:rRNA from 1 species